CGGAGGGUGCGAGCGUUGUCCGGAAUCACUGGGCGUAAAGGGCGCGUAGGUGGCGCGAGUAGUCAACGGUGAAAGCCCGGGGCUCAACCCCGGGUCGGCCGUCGAUACUCUCGUGCUUGAGCACUGUAGAGGCAGGUGGAAUUCCGGGUGUAGCGGUGGAAUGCGUAGAGAUCCGGAAGAACACCGGUGGCGAAGGCGGCCUGCUGGGCAGUAGCUGACACUGAGGCGCGACAGCGUGGGGAGCAAACAGGAUUAGAUACCCUGGUAGUCCACGCCGUAAACGAUGGGCACUGGAUGCUUGGGGGAGCGACCCUCUGAGUGUCGUCGCUAACGCAUUAAGUGCCCCGCCUGGGGAGUACGGCCGCAAGGCUG
rnacentral:rRNA from 1 species